AACGAACGCUGGCGGCGUGCCUAACACAUGCAAGUCGAGCGGGCACUUCGGUGUCAGCGGCAGACGGGUGAGUAACGCGUGGGGAUCUGCCUAGUGGUACGGAACAACACAGGGAAACUUGUGCUAAUACCGGAUGUGCCCUUCGGGGGAAAGAUUUAUCGCCUUUGGAGCGGCCCGCGUCUGAUUAGCUUGUUGGUGAGGUAAAGGCUCACCAAGGCUACGAUCAGUAGCUGGUCUGAGAGGAUGGCCAGCCACAUUGGGACUGAGACACGGCCCAAACUCCUACGGGAGGCAGCAGUGGGGAAUCUUGCGCAAUGGGCGAAAGCCUGACGCAGCCAUGCCGCGUGGAUGAUGAAGGUCUUAGGAUUGUAAAAUCCUUUCAGCGGGGACGAUAAUGACGGUACCCGCAGAAGAAGCCCCGGCUAACUUCGUGCCAGCAGCCGCGGUAAGAC
rnacentral:rRNA from 1 species